rnacentral:rRNA from 1 species
UCCGCAGGCGGGCAAUUAAGUCAGAGGUGAAAUCCCACAGCUCAACUGUGGAACUACCUUUGAUACUGGUUGUCUUGAGUUAUAGUGAAGUAGAUAGAAUAUGUAGUGUAGCGGUGAAAUGCAUAGAUAUUACAUAGAAUACCGAUUGCGAAGGCAGUCUACUAACUAUAUACUGACGCUGAUGGACGAAAGCGUGGGGAGCGAACAGGAUUAGAUACCCUGGUAGUCC